AAGUGAUGUGGCAAGUCACUCGGUCAUUUAAGACGACCUUUUUUACUUUCUAUCAUUUGCUGUACUUGACUAUAUCUUUGCUUGAGCUUUAAAGGGAUAGUUCGGGAUUUUUGACAUGAAUCUGUAUGGCAUCCCCAUCAAUAGUGUCGUGCAAACACACUGACUUGCCCCCGACAGCAUCCUGUGAGUCCAGUUCUUGUCCAGUUUUGGUCCAGACGAAAGUAGUCCGGCAAGUUUGUUGGGGUCACGAAAGUAAAACGUUUUUCGUCUCGGAACAGUAUGUGUUCAAAAGAGUGAUAUAUUUGCAUCACAAAACCGUUGCCAAAUAAAAAGUCAGACCUCGCAAUCGCUUGGCACUAUUUUCUCUCCCUUCUUAUCACUGCGCGCUGCCGCCAGGUGACAGCCACGGCUGUUUCAUUCAUUGUUUACUGCUAGCAAAGUUAGCGACAACAUGUCUGACUACGACAGCGACGUUGAAAACAUUGACUUCAUCUCACAGCCAAAGGGAUAGCUUUAUGAACCCGAAUAUACAGAUGAAGAAAUUCGCCAGAUGGAGUUAGAACGGGCAGAGAGAGAAAGGGUGGACAGAGAAGUGGAAGAAGGUGAAGCUGGAGCUGGAGCCGCGAGACACCGGGUGACCGACAAAUGGUGGUGUACUUGUUCCAAAUGUGAAGUAAUGCAGACAGAGGUGGAGUGCUACUGCUGCCACGAAUAGGAUCUCAUCAUGCCACAGAUGCAAGACCUUUCAAUUGACGAGGAGGCCAGCGUGCCAGCUGCUGUCUGCAUCACAAACCACACUGACUUCCCUGCACUCCUGAAUGUUGGUGUCUUGCAGACGUUUUUCCACAUUCCUAAAAUUAACUGGAAGAAGCGUCCCAGGCCAGCUGGACCCGAUGAUCAGUUGUAUUCAGAACAGUACAUGCUGAUUGCCUAUCGCAUUGUAUUAGAAUGGGCCCUGAAAGGAGAGAAGCUUGGUCCCGGCCACAGGAGAGUUCUUCCUUCCUGUGUGGUGGAGCUAAUAAGAAGAACAUAUCCAUCACCAAAUGGACAAUAUGCAGGGUUCAAAGAGUCAGUGGAUGCACUGCAAUUGUUUUAGAUCUUUAAAAUUGUAAAGUUUUACUGUACAUUUUCUACAUUGUUACAUUUACCCUUUCUAUGGAAAAUUAUUUGAAACAACAUCGAACAUACAAAAUAGAAACAGAUUUCUGUCCUGUUCAAUAAAACUAUGUUCACAAA